GCUGGGCGUGGUGGCCCACGCCUGUAAUUCCAGCUACUCGGGGAGGCUGAGGCAGGAGAAUCGCUUGAACCUGGGAGAUGGAGGUUGCAGUGAGCUGAGAUCGUGCCACUGCACUCCAGCCUUGGCAACAGAGCGAGACUCUGUCUCAA
rnacentral:SRP_RNA from 2 species